GUGGUGAUCUAGGAUCAGGUCAUAAAGAGUCUCAGUGGUGGUGAUCUAGAAUCAGGUCAUAAAGAUUCUCAGUAGGAGUGGUGAUCUUGGAUCAGGUCAUAAAGAGUCUCAGUAGGAGUGGUGAUCUAGGAUCAGGUCAUAAAGAGUCUCAGUAGGAGUGCUGAUCUAGGAUCAGGUCAUAAAGAGUUCCAGUAGGAGUGGUGAUCUAGGAUCAGGUCAUAAAGAGUCUCAGUAGGAGUGCUGA